rnacentral:rRNA from 1 species
UACAGAGACUGCAAGCGUUAUUCGGAUUCACUGGGCGUAAAGGGUGCGCAGGCGGCCAAGUGUGUUAGGCGUGAAAGCCCGGGGCUUAACCCCGGAAUUGCACCUAAAACUACGUGGCUAGAGCAUUGGAGAGGGUAGCAGAAUUCACGGUGUAGCAGUGAAAUGCGUAGAUAUCGUGAGGAAUACCAGAGGCGAAGGCGGCUACCUGGACAAUUGCUGACGCUCAGGCACGAAAGCGUGGGGAGCAAAAGGG